rnacentral:rRNA from 1 species
GGGUGAGUAACGCGUAUCCAACCUGCCCACCACUUGGGGAUACCUUUGCGAAAGUAAGACUAAUACCCAAUGAUAUCUCUAGAAGGCAUCUGAAAGAGAUUAAAGAUUUAUCGGUGAUGGAUGGGGAUGCGUCUGAUUAGCUUGUUGGCGGGGUAACGGCCCACCAAGGCAACGAUCAGUAGGGGUUCUGAGAGGAAGGUCCCCCACAUUGGAACUGAGACACGGUCCAAACUCCUACGGGAGGCAGCAGUGAGGAAUAUUGGUCAAUGGACGAGAGUCUGAACCAGCCAAGUAGCGUGCAGGAUGACGGCCCUAUGGGUUGUAAACUGCUUUUAUAAGGGAAUAAAGUGAGUCUCGUGAGACUUUUUGCAUGUACCUUAUGAAUAAGGACCGGCUAAUUCCGUGCCAGCAGCCGCGGUAAUACGGAAGGUCCGGGCGUUAUCCGGAUUUAUUGGGUUUAAAGGGAGCGUAGGCCGGAGAUUAAGCGUGUUGUGAAAUGUAGAUGCUCAACAUCUGAACUGCAGCGCGAACUGGUUUCCUUGAGUACGCACAAAGUGGGCGGAAUUCGUGGUGUAGCGGUGAAAUGCUUAGAUAUCACGAAGAACUCCGAUUGCGAAGGCAGCUCACUGGAGCGCAACUGACGCUGAAGCUCGAAAGUGCGGGUAUCGAACAGGAUUAGAUACCCUGGUAGUCCGCACGGUAAACGAUGGAUGCCCGCUGUUGGUCUGAAUAGGUCAGCGGCCAAG